rnacentral:rRNA from 1 species
UACGUAGGGAGCAAGCGUUGUCCGGAAUCAUUGGGCGUAAAGCGCGCGUAGGUGGCUUCGUAAGUCCGUUGUGAAAGUCAAAGGCUCAACCUUUGAAAGCCGAUGGAUACUGCGGAGCUAGAGUACGGAAGAGGCGAGUGGAAUUCCUGGUGUAGCGGUGGAAUGCGCAGAUAUCAGGAGGAACACCAAUGGCGAAGGCAGCACUCUGGGACGGUACUGACGCUGAGACGCGAAAGCGUGGGGAGCAAACAGG